rnacentral:rRNA from 1 species
UACGUAGGGUGCGAGCGUUGUCCGGAAUUAUUGGGCGUAAAGAGCUCGUAGGCGGCUUGUCACGUCGGAUGUGAAAACCCGGGGCUCAACCCCGGGCCUGCAUUCGAUACGGGCAGGCUGGAGUUCGGCAGGGGAGACUGGAAUUCCUGGUGUAGCGGUGAAAUGCGCAGAUAUCAGGAGGAACACCGGUGGCGAAGGCGGGUCUCUGGGCCGAUACUGACGCUGAGGAGCGAAAGCGUGGGGAGCGAAC